rnacentral:rRNA from 1 species
GUCCACGCCCUAAACGAUGGGCACUAAGUGUAGCCGGCGAAGGCCGGCUGUGCCGCAGCUAACGCAGUAAGUGCCCCGCCUGGGGAGUACGGCCGCAAGGUUGAAACUCAAAGGAAUUGACGGGGGCCCGCACAAGCGGUGGAGCAUGUGGUUCAAUUCGACGCAACGCGAAAAACCUUACCUGGGUUUGACAUGCAGGUGGUACUGAACCGAAAGGGGAUGGACCCCGCAAGGGGAGCCUGCACAGGUGCUGCAUGGCUGUCGU